rnacentral:rRNA from 1 species
GAUCCUGGCUCAGAAUGAACGCUAGCUACAGGCUUAACACAUGCAAGUCGAGGGGCAGCGGGAUUGAAGCUUGCUUCAAUUGCCGGCGACCGGCGCACGGGUGAGUAACGCGUAUCCAACCUUCCGUACACUCAGGGAUAGCCUUUCGAAAGAAAGAUUAAUACCUGAUGGUAUGAUGAGAUUGCAUGAUAUCAUCAUUAAAGNUUUAUCGGUGUACGAUGGGGAUGCCG